rnacentral:other from 2 species
GCAGAAAGCGUCUAGCCAUGGCGUUAGUAUGAGUGUCGUGCAGCCUCCAGGACCCCCCCUCCCGGGAGAGCCAUAGUGGUCUGCGGAACCGGUGAGUACACCGGAAUUGCCAGGACGACCGGGUCCUUUCUUGGAUAAACCCGCUCAAUGCCUGGAGAUUUGGGCGUGCCCCCGCAAGACUGCUAGCCGAGUAGUGUUGGGUCGCGAAAGGCCUUGUGGUACUGCCUGAUAGGGUGCUUGCGAGUGCCCCGGGAGG